ACAUGUUACGGAAAGACAUACAAGGACUGCUGUUUUCUUUGUUUAAUAAAUCAUCACCUUCCUGCAGUACAAGUAGGAUUGCCUAAGAGACCAGACAAGCACACGGACAAGAAUGAACCAUCAUGGAGACAUUAAACAACCAUGGAGACAUCAGACAAUGGGACAAACAGAGCUGAUUCUCGCUGUGAUAACCAGCCAGACAACACUGAGCCUUCCAUCCUGUUACAUGUGUUGCCAGGGGUUACACGGCGGCUGGGGUUUGGCACCAUGCGUAGAGGAGGACGACAAGCGGAGGGGAUGGACACUCAUAGAGACUGAGAUGGAGGCACGUACCCAUCCCCAUAGGCACCUUCGUGGCACGCGGGAGGGAACACAUCCAUCUCUAUCAGGUUGUCAUGCCCGUUUUCCAGAACGGCUUGCUUUGCUAAUUUUCUACAUGAGGGAGAUGGAGAUACCAGAGACAUAACACAAUUAGAGACGUGUGUGUGUUUGUGUGAGUGUGUGUAUGUGUGUGUGUGUGUGUGUGUGUGUGUGUGUGUGUGUGUAAUCAAAGUGUAUUAUAAUACAACACAAUUAGAGAGAAGGGAAGACUUGAGGAGAUCGUUUUGGCAGCCAGACACGCCGACACACAGAGCGAUGGGGACGUAGUCACCCGGUAGACCUGACUGGCAGCCAGACACGCCGACACACACAGAGCGAUGGGGACGUAGUCACCCGGUAGACCUGACUGGCAGCCAGACACGCCGACACACACAGAGCGAUGGGGACGUAGUCACCCGGUAGACCUGACUGGCAGCCAGACACGCCGACACACACAGAGCGAUGGGGACGUAGUCACCCGGUAGACCUGACUGGCAGCCAGACACGCCGACACACACAGAGCGAUGGGGACGUAGUCACCCGGUAGACCUGACUGGCAGCCAGACACGUCGACAC